rnacentral:lncRNA from 1 species
CCGCGCUGUCUCCCUCCAGGGAUCCGCACCGCCCUACAAUCCUGCUUUGUGCUGAGAUUGUAGUCCUGCAGGCGUACAACUAACAAGCUGGGUGCAGAUAAGAGACUACAGCUCCCCGCAUCCCAAGCAAAGGUCCCUCCUCUACGGAGCCCCUCCACGCGUCCACUGCGGUUCCGCCGUGCCAAGGGGAGCUUGGCUGUUCACGGGCCUCACCUGCUAGCGAGAAGAUAGCUUGGCCGGGCGGCUGAUCUCACCUUGUAAUUCUGACACUGUGUCUCCCGGGCUUGUCGGCUUCAUGACUUGUGCCCAAAGUUUGAUUUCUCGCAGACCAGGAGGACCCAUUGGACCCCCGGGCUGGCUGCAGGGCCCACACCUGGGUUAGACCUCGCACAGGGACGCUGCUGCCACUGUAAUAAAGCGUGCCUACACGCUUCUGAAACUGGUGUAGGAACAACCUCAGUUCUGUGAAAGGCGGACGCAGCAGGACAGAAUCUCCGUGGACAUCUGUCUGGAGGAGCAAUUUUACUGCGACAUUUUAAAGAAACAAAUUUAAUUGAUUUCCAAGGCUAGAGUGUGACAGAAAUCUAAAAGAUCAACUUCAUCGUGCAGGAAGGAGCAUAGAAAAAUAGAGAAAAGAAGAAAACAGCAAACCAUUCUGAGUACCGUGGAAACAAACUAAAAGUGGGCUUAGAAGGAAAACAGAGGAAGAAGGUCUGAGUAGUCCCAGGGACUCCAGAGGCCAAGAUGGGAAAGCCACCCAGGCGAGACAGGGGAGAUGGAAGCCACAGGGAAUCACUAUCACAUACCUCUGCUGGACCUGAAUGGUCCUGGCGCCAGCUAGAGCCAUCUGGUCGACCUUAGACAUGUCAAGGCAGGAGCCAUCUGAUCGACCUUAGACUUGGCAAGCUGGUGGCUAAGUCCAGUGCUCACUGCCGACAUCUGUCUCAAAAUAAACAAAAAGUCCAACAGUGAAUAUUUAACAAUAACAAAAAUAUAAUACCAAACAAUAUUAAAG